UUUUAUUAGCCGAGGUUGAUACACAUAUAUUACUUAUCAGUUUUUACAGUUGCUAUCUCAGAUUGUGGGGAUAAGCAGAAGUUAUUGUCAGGUUUUUUUUUUUUUUUUUUACUAUUUGCCAGUUGUCUGGUGCUGAAGCGGAAAACGUUCCAGUGCGCUGUAAUGUUAUGAAUGUGACACUUAGAUGCAACAUAUUGGAAUUACACAGUGCUGUGUGAACGUUUCCACCCUCAAGUUGGACAAGGAACAAAAGACAACAACUUAUAAUUGCCAGCCAGCUAAAACUUUGUUUCCACAGCAAUUGCCACCUUAGGCCUGAUUCCACCCUCAGGACUUUGGUGAUUUUACUGCCCCUAAAUUGGAGACCAGUGCCUCAACCAAAAGUGGCCUUC